rnacentral:rRNA from 1 species
CCUACGGGAGGCUGCAGUCGAGAAUCUUCGGCAAUGGGCGCAAGCCUGACCGAGCGACGCCGCGUGGAGGACGAAGGCCUUCGGGUUGUAAACUCCUGUCGAGGGGAGCCCUGAUCCCUGGAGGAAGCACGGGCUAAGUUCGUGCCAGCAGCCGCGGUAAGACGAACCGUGCGAACGUUAUUCGGAAUCACUGGGCUUAAAGCGCGUGUAGGCGGGACGGCACGUCGUCGCUGAAAGCCCCCGGCUCAACCGGGGAACGGGCGCCGAUACGACCGUCCUCGAGGAACGUAGGGGGACCUGGAACUUCCGGUGGAGCGGUGAAAUGCGUUGAGAUCGGAAGGAACGCCCGUGGCGAAAGCGAGGUCCUGGCGUUACUGACGCUGAGACGCGAAAGCCAGGGGAGCGAACGGGAUUAGAUACCCUGGUAGUC